UAACGACCUACAAUAUACUCAGUUACAAAGUGAAUACUUAUUUUGGCUAUAAGUUCCUGUUAACUAAGAUAGCUUGCUAGCACGUAAAACUUCCAGACAGGAAUAAUCAAUGUAUGUCUUCUUCGAUUCUUUUCAGCUAACCUGUCACAACUGUCACUGGAGAGAGACGAGAAUUAUUGAGAGAUAUUGUUGUGUUGUGUGUUCAGCUAGUGAGUGAAAGCCAUUCAUUUCCAUAAAUUGGAUGGAAUUAUCAUUCUAUCACGAUCAACGUUUGAUGAUAAGGAAAACGUCUGGGAUUACGAAAUGCACCGUAGAGAACUGUAUGUGCAUAUUAGGACUUUGUGGUGUUAUGGACAUAUUAGAAAGUUUGGGUUUUCUUGAUUAUGACAGGAGCUCUGAAUGAACUAUAAGUUGUGGUGUAAGAAUACUGGAAAAAUUUAUUAAUAUUAUUGGAGUAGAAUAAACUAAUAUUUAAAACAGAACCCACCUCUUGACUUACUUUUAAAUUUAUUUAUUACUGGGUAAGCCAGAAAGAUACAUGUUUAACGCGCGUUUUUAGCAGUUCUUCCUGUAUGUCGGGUUGGCAGUUUACCUAAACAUCGCUCCUUGGAAGAACCAAUACAAGAUCCCCGUCCUCCGUAAGAAUCUGCCAACCGUUCUCACAUAAAGAGAUAUGGCCGAUAGCAAGGCUCAAACCCAUCCCGGACAGGAUACAGUGAUUUCAAGUCAGCGACUAACCACUCGACUACAGGGGCGAUCACACGAUGGAUGGCUACUACAAUUCGGAAUCUAGAAACCACAUGGGUACGUAGUUACAGUAAUGCCAGACUGAAGUCGACAUAGAACUCCCAAACUGAUUUAUGUCGACAGGUUCGACUAACAGCUUAUUUUCAUCUCUACUGUUUUCGUUUGACUAAAGUUCUCGUGAGAUAGCAUACCACAUGUCUUCAUUAUGCAGUAAUUAUUUGACGGAUUUCUAGGAAAGAAUGUAUAUCUUUUCAUAUGGAAUCCCGAUGGUAAUUCUUUGGUUUGGUAUUCUACAGUUGGAGAGAAAGUAUCGAUAAAAAUUGAAGACUGGAAGUAGUAAUCAGACUCAAAUCUCAAUGGACGUAUAGUUAUAAUGAUCGAAUCACGUUGUAUUUUUUACCGACAAUUGUUACAUAAAUUCAUACCCUGUAGGAAAGGAAAUGCGUAUAUGUUUAAUGAAAAUUGGCUGCGUGUUUAUCUGCACCAUUUAGAAAUUUUUGAAGCAGUCUAAAAUAAAAAGUGCUUAGACUACACGAGAUUUACCUGGUCGCACUCAGCGUGCGUUGUGGUGUAGAAGAAAUGACUUACUGAACAAGACUCAGUGCUAUUGUAUUAUAGUAACCUGAAAACAUAUUCAGUAAAGUAAUAUCAGCUAAAAUAUCAAUGCAUCGAGUGGCGCCUGCGCAAUAAACUUUUUAUUACAAAAUUAUGUGCAUGAUCAUAGAUUUCUCUAUGUAACAAGGACCAAAUGUUCUAUUAAUUGCAACAAGUUGCGACAGAACUAUGUGCCAUUUAAAACAGAAAGACACUUCACAUAUUAGGUAUAGUCCAACUGAAGCGAUCCUAAGAAAUAUUGAGAUACUUUUUUCGUAUGGGCAAUAUCCCCACUCGCGUCAAACACUCGAAAGAUCAAAAUAAUUGAACAAUUUUCGAUGAAAUUUUCAUCGCUGCCGACGCUUUACAUGCUAUAAGUUUAAAUGCCGAUUAUUUCACGAACUGGCCAUUAAUUCAAAUAAAACAAAGGCUUACAUGCAUCGAAAGAUGAUUCAAUUCCUCAUUGAUUCAUGUAAAAGUUAUCAAGUGUGUGAGUGAGUUGGGUUUAAUGGCGAACCGACACAAAAUGGUCAUAUAUCGCCGAGAAGAAGUCAUAUUGCAUACGCCAACUGUAAAGCAUAAACAUUGACGUAAAAAUAUAAAACAUACCCAAAAACAUCCAUGUAAAAAUGUAAAGAACACUAUGAGUAAUGUAAAACAUAUCUAAAACAUCCAUGUAAAAAUGUAAAGCAUAUCUAAAAAAAGUUAUGUAAAAAUGUAUAUACGUAUGUGUUAAAAUAUCAGCUGCAAACAUUAUAAUAUUGCAAGAUGGAAGAUACUGCGUGUAGUUUAAAUAAAUAAAUGGAUGAAUAGAAUCUAUUACCGAGUUUGUUUUCUCACAAUUGAAAGCAAACAUAUAGUUAAAUGUGUUAAAAACAUCGAGUAUGCGA